rnacentral:rRNA from 1 species
UACGUAGGCAGCAAGCGUUGUUCGGAGUUACUGGGCGUAAAGAGUGCGUAGGCGGUUUCCUAAGUUUGGUGUGAAAUCUCCCGGCUUAACUGGGAGGGUGCGCCGAAGACUGGGGAGCUAGAGGAUGGGAAAGGCAAGCGGAAUUCCUGGUGUAGCGGUGAAAUUCGUAGAUAUCAGGAGGAAUACCUAUGGCGAAAGCAGGUAUCUGGGCCAUCACUGACGCUGAGCUGCGAAAGCUAGGGGAGCAAACAGG